rnacentral:rRNA from 1 species
UAGGAAAUUGCCCUGAUGUGGGGGAUAACCAUUGGAAACGAUGGCUAAUACCGCAUGAUGCCUACGGGCCAAAGAGGGGGACCUUCGGGCCUCUCGCGUCAGGAUAUGCCUAGGUGGGAUUAGCUAGUUGGUGAGGUAAGGGCUCACCAAGGCGACGAUCCCUAGCUGGUCUGAGAGGAUGAUCAGCCACACUGGAACUGAGACACGGUCCAGACUCCUACGGGAGGCAGCAGUGGGGAAUAUUGCACAAUGGGCGCAAGCCUGAUGCAGCCAUGCCGCGUGUGUGAAGAAGGCCUUCGGGUUGUAAAGCACUUUCAGUCGUGAGGAAGGUAGUGUAGUUAAUAGCUGCAUUAUUUGACGUUAGCGACAGAAGAAGCACCGGCUAACUCCGUGCCAGCAGCCGCGGUAAUACGGAGGGUGCGAGCGUUAAUCGGAAUUACUGGGCGUAAAGCGCAUGCAGGUGGUUUGUUAAGUCAGAUGU